AGUGAACGCUGGCGGUAGGCCUAACACGUGCAAGUCGAACGGCAGCACAGUAAGAGCUUGCUCUUACGGGUGGCGAGUGGCGGACGGGUGAGGAAUACAUCGGAAUCUACUUUUUCGUGGGGGAUAACGUAGGGGAACUUACGCUAAUACCGCAUACGACCUACGGGUGAAAGCAGGGGAGCUUCGGACCUUGCGCGAUUGAAUGAGCCGAUGUCGGAUUAGCGAGUUGGCGGGGUAAAGGCCCACCAAGGCGACGAUCCGUAGCUGGUCUGAGAGGAUGAUCAGCCACACUGGAACUUAGACACGGUCCAGACUCCUACGGGAGGCAGCAGUGGGGAAUAUUGCACAAUGGGCGCAAGCCUGAUCCAGCCAUACCGCGUGGGUGAAGAAGGCCUUCGGGUUGUAAAGCCCUUUUGUUGGGAAAGAAAAGCAGCAGGUUAAUACCCCGCUGUUCUGACGGUACCCAAAGAAUAAGCACCGGCUAACUUCGUG
rnacentral:rRNA from 1 species